UUAUAGCUUUUACGUUUCACGAAUCAAACAGUGUCGAGUUGUUUUUUUGGGACUAGACCUUUUUGAAAUGUAAAAUUUUUAAUAUUAAGUUGCUGGCUGUCUGCUACAAAUGGAGCCUUAUGGAUGUUUGCUGGACCAGUUUGCUUAGUCAUUCUUGUAAGUUAAUUGAAGUCCUUUUUUAACUUCAUUUCUCUUCUCUAUGAUUUAUUUAUGUUAUCUAAACACCACAAGCUACAACCUGAAAGGGUUAUAUUAUAUUUAAAAAGAUGCAUAUGUUUGUGAUUCAGAUCAAUACGUUGAUGCUUUUGGUCGUCAUGAAGACUUCGUUCCAUCAUUCAAAACACGAGAAGCACUUAAGGAGGUAAGUUGUAUACUUAAAGCCAAUAUAUUUAUACUCGAUACAGCUUUAUCAGUUCUAAACCGUACAUGUACAGCAAAGCCCAUUUCCACUCAAGAAAAUUUUCCACGAACAGAAAAUUUUCCGAAAAUAUCAUUGUCCAUGUAAAGUCCGUUCUGCGCAUACGUUCUGCGCAGGCUUACAUUCCAAUGGUCGGGACCCGACCGUUGGAAUGUUUUUAAUAUUUCGUAUAUUUUGAACUUUCUUGAAUUGAAUCUCUAGUCUGUAUUCAUUUACAGGCAUAGCGAAACCAGAAGAGUGUUAAAAAUUCAGUAUAAUAUAUAUCUAAUCAUAUUUUACAACUGUAGCACUGAGUUCAAAAUGUAAACAAAGCGUUUGUUUACAUUACGGACUUUACAUGGUUCUUCUAAAGAAGUUGAAAAUUUUCAACUUCAAAAUUUUUUUGCAACG